UAGAGAUUCAUCCGGAGGACUAAGAAAGUGGAGCCAGUGGCACUAUAUUGACUCCAUUGAUACUAUCCUCCUAAAUUAAAUGGUAGAAGAACAAGGCCUGCCUGUGAGAUAAAAGUCAGGACCUACUUGAUCUACCUACAAUGUUUUAGUGGCAGUGAUAGAGCAAGUUAAAAGUCAUGUGUUUCUGUAGUAAAAGGUCAGAUGUGUUUGUUUUAAAUCUACAUUAAACUAUUUCAGCGCUAUUGUAUUUUCUCUUUUAUCUGUGCGUUUGACAUGUCUUACAUGUGUAAUUGCUCACAGGCCCUUUGUUCCCGGCUCCAGCACUGGGUGAGGAGGGACACUGGACAUGCCUUCGAUUACGGUAACAGAUAGUUCUGUCACUGCUAUAGCUGUCCUGUGCCAUGCCUGGUUAUGACCAUGGGGUCAUUCUCCUGAGCAGACUGCUCUGUACUCAGCCACCUGGCCAGCAUUCUCCAGUAGAUUCACCAAGCUGGCAGCAUAACGACAGAGCUGUUUGGUACCUGCAGAGUUCCACUGCAAGGGUGUCUGAGCACCUGACUUUUGACUCAGAAAAUCUGCCCUUGCACGGUCCAGCAAGAGGGUUCUGAAGUCCUGGGGAUGUGCCAGUUCAGUUCACUGGUUGGAAAGUAUUUUGCCAGGUUGCAGCUAUGGCUUAAACACUUGAGGUGAAAGCUGGUGGUGGGGUGUGGAAUCAUGGGUUCACCAGCAGCCUUUGUGGAUUAGAGGCUCUCUUUGGAGGUUCAGAUGUCCUCAUACCUCUGCUCUGAUACCUGUGUGUUAUACUCUUUCAGGAAUCUACUUGGAAAUAAGAGUAGGGCUCUCAGUUUUUGGCUGAUAGGAAUAAAACAUGUUCCAGUGGGUAUAAAUUGGAGCCAAAGUCAAGGAGUACAUUUUUAAGCAAAGAAUGGUGCUUUCUUACCACUUCAAUCCCCAGCACAGGAGCUGUACCCUAGAACUGCUGUUCCCUGGGAUGGCCAUGCCAGCAGCAGCAGGGCACACAUGCCCACAAACUGUUCUGCUCACUGGCAGGUAAAGCAACUUAGUUUCUGGCCUGCUUACAGCAGGUCUUACAAAGUGACCAAAACAACUUUUUCUGCCCUGAAAAUAUCUUAAUUCCUGGUAGGUUAAGAAAUGACCCUGUGCUGGUAUAGCUCAGUGUUGCUAAAUGCAUCUUCUGAGGCUUUUGAAACAGAUACCCAAGAGCAGAUGGUACUAAUCACUGCUGUUGUAGUAGCAUACUCAGCUCCUGUUUUUGUGGUUUCUAAAGGCCUGUUUUGGCAAGACUUUUUUUAAGCUAUUUGGGAAAGAACAUACAAGCUUUUGACACACAGUUCUAUGUAAAAUCUCUUUAGUUUUGCCAAUGGCGUUUAUUUAUAGAGACCCUGCAUAUUGUAGAGGCCACUGCUUGUUCCUGGUGAUUCCCUAGAAUGGAGACUUGAACCAAUGAUUUUUGUAAUGAAUAUGCAAUAAAUCUGUGGAAAAGC